GUAGGGACAUUUUACUAUUAACUAUAACCAUAAAUAAUACAUGGAAUUACAGAUGUAAUUUCAGGCAAAGAGAGACACACAAAGGACAGCAAAAGAAAACAGAUUCUGAAUAUGCAUCUCUGCUUCGCACAUGUACAUGCAGUGCAAAAACAGCAAAGCACAUGUAUACUUCAUGUUCUGAAUCAGCAAUCAGUAUAAAUUGCAAAACACCAAAGAAAAAUGGAAUCGGACGCCAACACCAGCCACGGCCAGCACCUUCCC
rnacentral:lncRNA from 1 species